ensembl:lncRNA
ACCAACACUUGUUGCUUAUAUAAUUUGUAAUGAAGAAGUUGAAUUAAAUAAAAAAAAUGCAAGUAAAUACAUACAGUGUGUACACAAUGUGAUCAACCAGUCAAACAUAAACUACAGAUGACUUGUCUUUAUGAAUCUAUAUGUGAAAUUAUGAUUGUUUAUAAAUAACACAAAAUGCAUACAUUAAAAUAAUCUCUUAUUUAUGAAAAAAUACUCUACGUCAUUAUUUCUUAAGCACUAGUGUGUGUGUGUGUGUGUGUGUGUGUGUGUGUGUGUGUCAGGUGGAUCAUGAGAAACUCCUGGAGCGCAGAAUAAGACUGAGAGAGAGUCACGAGAGACUGAUCGAGAAUGAACUGAUGAAGAUGGAGAGAGAAUUACAGGAGGAGCAGGUGAGAGCGGAGGACACGUGAAAAAGAACAAAAAACAACACCUCUUAAAAAUACAAAGUCAUUUGUUUAUAUCUAAAUGUUCUCCCUAUUCACCUUUGUGUGUGCUAUUAAACAUAUAUGUCCAGUCCUGGCUUCUGAUUGGUCAAUCUGUUUAUAAAAUGUUGUAUAUAAAUUAUUGUCAGUGUUUUAUACCUAUAACAGUUAUCAUUGUGGCUUUCAAGUGAGUUCUGGUUGAGUUAAACAAGCAGAGCUCAAACGGGCCGCUCUGAUCAUGUGACUGACUCUGUCCCGUCGGCAGAUGGGUGGUGUGGAGGGCGAGAUGUCGUACCUGCGCAGAGAGAGACACAUCCUGGUUCUUCAGAUCGAGGCGCUGCGCAGGGAGAACCAGCAGGCGUCUGCAGACCUGGAGACCCAGAGCAGACAACACCAGCAGCAGAUCAGCAACCUCAGAGAAGAGAGUCUGCAGGUGUUCAGGGCGUUUCGUGAAGUUCUGGAGGAACAGAGGUGCAUGUCUGAGAGAAGGUACAGGAAUCUGCUGUUAGACGCCAUUCAGGAUGCUGUGCAUCUGUCCUCACAAAACCUGCAGCUCCAGGACGAAAUCCAGCAGCUCCGGAAAGGUCUCAGUCCCACUCGAUGACGCAUCUGAUCCAACACAGAUUAAUUCAUCUGUGGGUCUUAAAGUCUUCAUUUGCCCUUCCAUAAAUUAAGACCUAAAAACGUCUUUAAUCAAAGCAGAAACUCUAUAGAAAUGCGUAUAGUCAUGGCAUUAAAUGUUGCAUGCAGUGCAAAAUGAAUAUCUUCCACACUGUUUUUUUUUCUUCCCCCAAUACAAAUAUCUAAACAUCUUUAAUCACAAUACAUUUACAAAUUGAACAGUUUGAUGUCUUGUUUUCUGAGAAAUUGAACAAAAUAAAGUGAGUUUAUGCUUUAAAACA